UAGUAACGCGAGUGAAGCGGGAAGAGCUCAAAGCUUGAAAUCUCCGCACAAGUUUUGUGUGGCGAAUUGUAGUCUAUAGAAGCGAUGUCAGCAUUGCUGCUCUAGUCAAGUUCCUUGGAAAAGGACAGCAUGGAGGGUUAUACUCCCGUCAUUGCUGGAGCAUGCUGUGUGUACGACACGUUUUCUUUGAGUCGCGUUGUUUGGGAAUGCAGCGCAAAGUAGGUGGUAAAUUCCAUCUAAAGCUAAAUAUAAGUGCGAGACCGAUAGCGAACAAGUACCGUGAGGGAAAGAUGAAAAGAACUUUGAAAAGAGAGUUAAAGAGUACCUGAAACUGCUGAAAGGGAAGCGAAUCGUAUCCAGUGUCUAUAAUCCGCAACAUAUUACAAUGAUGUGUUUUUGCUUUCCGCGUGUAGGUAGUAGCCUUGGUUGCACCUUGCGUGGAUUGGUUGAGACAUAUCGUUGCCCUGUGUUGUGGUGGGACGUCAAAGUCAGUUUGUACGUCGCAGGAAAUGAUUGACGAGGAAGAUAGGUUUGCUGCUUGCAGCGUUCCAUUAUAUCCUUAUCCAUGUCUGCUGUGACGGAGACUGAGGUGUCUUUAACAUGCUCUCGAGUCUAUUAGACAUUCACUUGGUUGAGUGCGUAGAUAGCUUGCUAUGUACGUGUUUAUACAGGGUGAUUGUGUUUGGU
rnacentral:rRNA from 1 species